AUUGAACGCUGGCGGCAGGCCUAACACAUGCAAGUCGAGCGAGCGGCGGACGGGUGAGUAAUGUCUGGGAAACUGCCUGAUGGAGGGGGAUAACUACUGGAAACGGUUGCUAAUACCGCAUACCAUCAGAUGUGCCCAGAUGGGAUUAGCUAGUGGGUGGGGUAACGGCUCACCUAGGCGACGAUCCCUAGCUGGUCUGAGAGGAUGACCAGCCACACUGGAACUGAGACACGUUCCAGACUCCUACGGGAGGCAGCAGUGGGGAAUAUUGCACAAUGGGCGCAAGCCUGAUGCAGCCAUGCCGCGUGUGUGAAGAAGGCCUUCGGGUUGUAAAGCACUUUCAGCGGGGAGGCGUUACCCGAAGAAGAAGCACCGGCUAACUCCGUGCCAGCAGCCGCGGUAAUUC
rnacentral:rRNA from 1 species